rnacentral:rRNA from 1 species
GAUGAACGCUGGCGGCGUGCCUAAUACAUGCAAGUCGAGCGAACAGAUAAGGAGCUUGCUCCUUUGACGUUAGCGGCGGACGGGUGAGUAACGCGUGGGUAACCUACCUAUAAGACUGGGAUAACUUCGGGAAACCGGAGCUAAUACCGGAUAACAUUUGGAACCGCAUGGUUCUAAAGUGAAAGAUGGUUUUGCUAUCACUUAUAGAUGGACCCGCGCCGUAUUAGCUAGUUGGUAAGGUAACGGCUUACCAAGGCGACGAUACGUAGCCGACCUGAGAGGGUGAUCGGCCACACUGGAACUGAGACACGGUCCAGACUCCUACGGGAGGCAGCAGUAGGGAAUCUUCCGCAAAGGGCGAAAGCCUGACGGAGCAACGCCGCGUGAGUGAUGAAGGGUCUCGGCUCGUAAAACUCUGUUAUUAGGGAAGAACAAACGUGUAAGUAACUGUGCACGUCUUGACGGUACCUAAUCAGAAAGCCACGGCUAACUACGUG